AUUGAACGCUGGCGGCAGGCUUAACACAUGCAAAUCGAGCGAGCGGCGGACGGGUGAGUAAUGUCUGGGAAACUGCCUGAUGGAGGGGGAUAACUACUGGAAACGGUAGCUAAUACCGCAUACCAUCGGAUGUGCCCAGAUGGGAUUAGCUAGGAGGUGGGGUAAUGGCGCACCUAGGCGACGAUCCCUAGCUGGUCUGAGAGGAUGACCAGCAACACUGGAACUGGGACACGGUCCAGACACCUACGGGGGGAAGCCGUGGGGAAUAUUGCACAGUGGGCGCAAGCCUGAUGCAGCAAGGCCGCGUGUGUGAAGAAGGCCUUCGGGUUGUAAAGCACUUUCAGCGAGGAGGCGUUACUCGCAGAAGAAGCACCGGCUAACUCCGUGCCAGCAGCCGCGGUAAUUC
rnacentral:rRNA from 1 species